rnacentral:tRNA from 1 species
UAAGCUAUAGCUUAAUCAGAAGCAUUCCGCUUACAUUGGAAAGAUCACUUAGUAUAGUGUAGUUUAA